GCGUGCGGGAAGAAGGCCUUCGGGUUGUAAACCGCUUUUGGUCGGGACGAAAGGGCGCUGGUUAAUACCUGGCGUUGUUGACGGUACCGGCAGAAUAAGCACCGGCUAACUACGUGCCAGCAGCCGCGGUAAUACGUAGGGUGCGAGCGUUAAUCGGAAUUACUGGGCGUAAAGCGUGCGCAGGCGGUGGGUCAAGUCUGAUGUGAAAGCCCCGGGCUCAACCUGGGAAUGGCAUUGGAAACUGGCUUGCUCGAGUGUGGCAGAGGGGGGUGGAAUUCCGCGUGUAGCAGUGAAAUGCGU
rnacentral:rRNA from 1 species